rnacentral:rRNA from 1 species
AUGCACGCUGGCGGCGUGCCUAAUACAUGCAAGUCGAGCGAACAGACGAGGAGCUUGCUCCUCUGACGUUAGCGGCGGACGGGUGAGUAACACCUGGAUAACCUACCUAUAAGACUGGGAUAACUUCGGGAAACCGGAGCUAAUACCGGAUAAUAUAUUGAACCGCAUGGUUCAAUAGUGAAAGACGGUUUUGCUGUCACUUAUAGAUGGAUCCGCGCCGCAUUAGCUAGUUGGUAAGGUAACGGCUUACCAAGGCAACGAUGCGUAGCCGACCUGAGAGGGUGAUCGGCCACACUGGAACUGAGACACGGUCCAGACUCCUACGGGAGGCAGCAGUAGGGAAUCUUCCGCAAUGGGCGAAAGCCUGACGGAGCAACGCCGCGUGAGUGAUGAAGGUCUUCGGAUCGUAAAACUCUGUUAUUAGGGAAGAACAAAUGUGUAAGUAACUAUGCACGUCUUGACGGUACCUAAUCAGAAAGCCACGGCUAACUACGUG